rnacentral:lncRNA from 1 species
CCAUAGAUACUAUAUAUACCAAGUGGAUGCGAAACAGGAAGUGGAUUGUACAUGAAAUUAUAUUGGUGACGUCACGAGCAGUAUGCCUAUGCUCUUUUCGCUCUAGCGUAGCCUCUACUGGCCUUGUUUCUCGAAGUUUUGGGUUCUUGGUCAAGUUACUACUUUCCUGAGUUGAAGUAAGCAUUAUGAAGUCUCUAUUAGCUCGAAUGACCUGCUGAAUCCUUGUUUGCUUGAUCACUGGAUCUCGUUGUACUGUAAAACAUGGCGGCCUAUAGUUCUGACUUUAAACACUUUUCUCCAAUCUGGGGCAGAGUUAGGUAUGAAUAUGAAACCAAUGAAGAUAAAUUGUCUGUUGUUUCUUGUAUUGACUCUUUUCAGAAGAAAUAUAGAUUUUUAUGAA